GUCGGAAUUCCGGGGGUUGUAAUCCACGAAAGCGUAUCCACGCGACUGGUCGAUGGUGUGAAACAGGGGAUUCCAGUCGAACAUCACCAACAUGUAGCUGGGCAGCGUAUUGGCUACGAACAUCUUGCCGCUCGCGAUCAUGUUGGCGCGCUG
rfam:Ponticoccus sp. TMTAT08 contig000007, whole genome shotgun sequence.